AUGAAUCCGUACAUACCUGAUCUAAUUUAUACGCACUGAAUAUUCUGGGUAUAUACAUAGACAAAAAUCUAAUGUGUACGUACAAAAUAUUCUAUGUAUAUACAUAUAAACAUUUAACGGGUACAUACUAAACAGAUGAAUUCAUAUAUACCUAAUUCGUAAUAUAUCUAAUGUGUAGUAUUUUUCCUUCUAAAGAUAUGCUACCAUGCAUUGCGUGCUUAAUCACAUUUAUUUAUGAUAUACAUCAUAAUUGUUUCCAUACUGAACUGUUUCAGAAUUGGCAAUUAAUAAUGGGUUGACCCGUUACCUUCUAUACCUAUCACAAUAAUACGCAUCUAAAUGCAAUCAAACGGUGGAAAGGCAAGGAGCCUGGGCACUUAGGUGUCCCAUACUGAUGUCGAUUUGUAUGUUCUAUGUAGUAUUUACCAAAUCGGAGAGUAUGUACGCGUAGUAUGUAGUAUAUAAGAAUGUUUAGAUAGUAUAUAUAGUCCUUUUUAGGUAGUAUGCAUCGUAUUUUCAGUAUGCUCCCAAAUAUAUACGUAUUUCACAAAUAUAAUAAAACCCAUGGGUCAACUUGCAAUUUUUUCAUGUUACCCACUUUGAAUUAUCUUAUAUAUAGUAUAUAAACAUAUUUAGAAUGAUAAAGUACUAUAUAUAGUAUCAUAAGAUAGUAUACGAGACAUGUGGGGUAACUACCACCGGGUGGUAGGUGGGAUAACGCCAUUAAGAGUCUUAUCCUCAUAACAGUUUCUUAUUCUGCUAACACUUCUUCCCGCAUCGAGCCACCCAACCCACACACACGAAAAAAAACAAAGUCAACCCACCCCACCGUAAAAUACCCCUCCUCCCACCUUUCUCCUCCUCCGCGGCCUCCUCCCACCUCCUUCCUCCUCGGCCAAGCCUCUCCACCUCCUACCUCCCGACGGGUCGCUAGGGGCCACCCCCACCUUCCUCCGGUGGGCGGCCCCUCUGAUCCUGUCGCCGGUGCCUACCCCCGUCUCACCGUCGCCCUUGCUACCACACAAUGCCGGAUCUCGGCCAUCCCCCGGCUCCCCGCGCCACCCUGGGUAACUCGACCGCCGGAUCGCGGCCAUCCCCAGUCCCCCCACGCCGCCCUGGGCCUUUCUCCCCUUCCUCCACUCCCUCGAUUCAUCACCACCUCCCCUGAUGUACCGCGAUUUCGGGAGGACAGCGCCGCCAUGAUUCCCCCGAUCUGGGUGGUCGACGAUGGCGUCCAUGGCGGCUGGCGUUUGUCUCCUGCUGGUGCUGUGCCCCACGGCGGGGGAGGGAGGUUAGGGAGGGGAUGCAGAGGAUUUGUGGUCGGCGGCGGUAGGAGGCAGUACCGGGGUUCGGGCUGGUGAUGCAGCGUGUUGGGUGUGGGUGUUGGUCGCGGCUCAACGACGACCAUCACCUGCCUUGCGUGGCCAGCCCAACAGAGCUCCGGCGAGCACUUUCCCAUGGGGAUCAAGCUCUUCACCCACGGCUCCCCGAUUUUCAUUUUUUAUUCGUGAUUUUUCACUGCUUUUUUGUUGUCCGGCGUCCCGCCGAUGGCACUGACGUGCAGUUUGGGUAGUGCUCCUGAGAAGCUCCCAGCCGCCUCGAUGUGGUCCACACUGCAGUGCAGUGCAGGACUCCCUCUCCACAUCCCUUUCACAGUGGCCAUUGCCGUGCAGUUUGGCUGGUCCCCAGCAACAUGUAGAUAGUGUUGCGGUUCCAUUGCCGUGUUGUUGCGGCGGCCGUCCAUGGUGCGGCGAUGCGGGGUCGUGCUCCUCCUGGAGAUCAGCCCGGCCGGCGGCGCCGGCCAAACCUCCCCUAACCCCGGUUCGACACCGCCCCGGCGGGAAUCAAGUGGAGGGAGGCCAGGUCGAUGCGGUGGUGGCUGCCUUCCACUGCAGAUCCCAGGGCGGUCCCUCCCCACCCCAUGACGCGCGGAUGAGAUCCGGCGCCCAGCUUCCUCCGGGUCAACCCUUUUCUGUCCUCCUCUGCAUCGCGUGCAGUGCCCACCUCGCGCCGCUGCAGUGCGCGGCCGUCCACAAUGGUCCAUCAUCGACUCCAGCGCCCAUGGGAGUAGCUUUUGUCAACCCAUUCAGGUGAAGAAGCAGUUGCUACUGACGAAUCCCGUUGAUGUUCGACUCACAGUGCAGAAGUGUACUGCGUGGGGAGUCGAUGAUGGCUACACGCACCUGCUGAGUGCACUGCUUCAGCGACGACCUUUUGUGAUUUUCAUAUGCGGUUUAGUGUAAAUGUUGUUUGCAGUUUGCUCGGCUGAUACUCCGCCACUCAAGCAGCACGACCAUGGUGAUGCAGUGCACCGCGACUCCAGCGUGCAGUGGAGUGGGUGUGUGCCCUCCUCGAGUACUCCUCGACUCCACGCCACCUUGUAGUAUGGGCGUCAGUGAAUUCUUCUUCGUCGAAGAUAUGCAGCUCGUCGGCGAGUGUCUCGUGGUUCAGGCAGCACGGGCGUGCAGUCCACCACUUGACUUUUGUUUGUAUUUUGAGGUGGUGCAGUGCGGCGGUGUUUCUCCUUGGGGCAUGGGCGUGGAGUACAUUUUUUUUAUGAUAAAGUUGGGCGACGCAGUCCACUCCAUCCAUGUUUUGCAUUUUUUGGAGAUUUUUUUGAAGUGCACUCAGUUUGUGUAAAAGGAAUAUGUUCCAUUAUCCCUAUGUAUGAAGUGCAAAAAUUGUUCCGUGUUUCAA